rnacentral:tRNA from 1 species
UUAAUUGAAACCAAAUUAGAGGUAAGUUAUUGUUAAUAACUCUAUUGAAUGUAAAACAUUCCAAUUAAA